rnacentral:piRNA from 1 species
UGGAGAGGAAGUGGGUCAGAGCAGU